UGACAUUAUCCUUUCGUCAUUUUCCUUUUUUCUAUUUCUGUUGCUCCCUCUUCCCUUCAAGCUGCCACAGUCGCCGCCAUGUCGUCUCUCUCCACUCCGCCGCCUUCUUGUUUGUGUCUUGUUUUGUCUCUCGCUCUACUCACUGCGUAUGCGAUCUCUCUCGCUCUCCACGUUGCAAUGUGAUCUCUUUCUCACUCUCCUCAUUGCAAUUUGUUAUCUGAAGCUCUGUUUAUCUUAAGCUUUUGUUGCAAUUGAAAAAGAAAUUGAACCCGUUGAUGAAAGCAUGAUUUGGUGGAAUAUGCAAAGUUGUUGCCUCUGUACUGCUGCCUAUUUCCUGCUAUCACUAUAAAGCCAAGGUGAAGUCCUAGUGCCCGUUACAGAGGUCCGGAACCUGUAAGAGAUUUUAUGUAUUUACAAAUGAAUUCAAAGUUAUACAAGUAGUUACUUGAUUUGAUUUAGGCUCCGUUUGAUCAAAUUAAGCUAUAAGCUAGCUGAAAUGAUAAUGGCUUGUGAGUGUAAUACUUGAAAUGAUUAUGUGUGUGGCUUGUAAUGAAAUUAUAAGCUGAAACGUUUUCUGCAAUAUCUGUUUUGCUGCAAAAUUCUAAUGUCUGCACUUUUUGUACAGAAUUUAUUGUUCUUAAUUGAACUUAAGAAGAGGUAUUGGUCGUAGGAAACUGGGUUAAUUAAUAUUUGUUCUGUUGAGUCUAUCUUAGGGAUACAAAACUGAAUUGGGACAAGCUUAUUAUUAUUUUUCUUUUUAAUACUUAUACUUCUGCAUAAUAGUUCUAAUCUUAUGAAGCUUAUCUGUUUUAGAAUGAUAAGCUUAAGGUUGAGUUUAGAGGACCUGGGCUGUAAACAACAGACAUAAGCUUGGCUUUGCACUUAAGUGAAUUAAUCUACUCAAAUAUGCAUUAAAGACUAAUAUUGAGAACUGAAAUGGUCUUCAAGUUGUUUGGUCACUAGGCUUAGAGUUUAAAACUUGCAUGCAGAAGUAGGGAGCAUGAUUCUAUUUUCUACAUAAUUGCCGGUGUUGCAGUUUUGGAUGAUAAUUUUAGUUUAAUUUUGGUUUGAAGUUUUUUAAUAUUUUAGAAUGAUAUGGUUGGUUUAAACUGCUGCCACUUUCCUGCUAUCAGUAUAAAGCCAAGCCAAGGUGAAGGCCGUUACAAUUUUUGUUUCUUGUCUUUCUAUUGUGUAGAUCAAGGUUAUGAACUUUUUUUCUUAUUUCAUUUGAUUCCUUAUCUAAGUUUCUAUGGUUUGUGUUCUCUAUGGUUGCUUCUACCAUGGCAUUUACUAGACUGAUUUGGUCUUUUCAACUGUGAUAAUUGGUUUGAAGGCCAAAAGAUCAGAACGAUCCAUUUGGUAAGUUUGGCCCUGUCAAGGAUGUUUAGGACACAAUUUUUACCAUAUCAUGUAAAAAUAUUUAUCUACCAUUUAAUUUUUUCUGUGAUGUUCCUCUAGACUUAUAAUAUAUAUGUCUGUAAGUAUGCUGCUGACAUGUUUCAUAUUAAAUUUGGAAGCAUUUGGUGGCAAGUAAAAUGUCAAAUAUAUUAUAAAGUGUUGUUUUAUAAUGAGUAUUAUAAUUUGUAUAGCACAAGCUCUAAAGAGUGAUGAAUAGAUCUAUCAAACAAGCUACAGAAAGCUGACAUUAGAGGAAAAAAACCAGACCUAAUAUUUAUUUUGGAUGAUGAGAUAAGAUAGAAUUGCAGAUCGGUGGAUUUGGAAGCAUGCUACUGGUGGUGGUUACACGGUCAGCAGCGCGUACAAAUUGCUCACUACUGUGGUCCCUCCACAGUUCAAUCUCCUCCACCGCCGUUCAUUCUCCUUCACAGUUUAAUCUCGAACCACAAUCCGUCAAACCCUCCGCAGUCGAAGAACUACAACCCCUCCUCCGUUCUCUAUUGUUCUUUGCAUUUCCAAGCAUAAGCUAGGUCAGGAUGCUUGAAAACAAUGACAGUGGGAUGUAGGUCAGGAUGAUGUAGGGCAGCAGGACGCAUGCCAUCAAAGAGAUUCACAUGAUGUAGCCAACUCCAAGUUAUCAUAUGGUAUGAUUAGCUUGAAGCAACUAAUUUGCAAAUGGUGUCUGCUUGACAUGAAUUAUCUGAAACAACACUCGUUCAACAAGCUUAAAUGGGCAGUAAAUACAUUGAGAAGUUGAAGUUCAAGUUGUCUGAUGAGAGGAAGAAAAGGAAUUGACUUAUCAUGAUUUUGUUGUUAUCAUGAGAAUUGUUUAUUGCAUAUUUAAUUACUUAGUAUUUAGGGGGAAACUUAUGGAUUUUAUUUGUAAUGUCAUGUACUUGAAAUAAUGUUAUAUGUUACUCUUGUUUUCUGUUUU